UCACUAUAGCUGAAACCAAGGGAAUAGUUUUACUUUUUUCCUUCAUGUUGUGGGACACACAGGUGGAGGGGUAGCCAAGCUGCAUCCUGUGAGCAGACAUGCUUCAUUUUUGGGAAAUCAAUUAUUCCUGAAAGGAUUCUAGUGCCUGGGUCUAGCAUGUGGAUGAGACUUACCUGAAGCAUCUUCAAGGCUUUUCCAGCACCGAAAUGGAUGAUCUGUGUGAACAACUGCAGCAGCCUGCUAGGAAUGUGCCAGAGGCUACGUACCAGUACUUGGCAGCUUCCUGGGCAUGAGCUUCUGAACCUUCAUCCAGUGUCAUUCAGGGAAGAUGCUCUGUCCCAGCACACCACCAACCCACUGUAGGAUCCUGACAAAACCCUUUCCCCCCCGUCUUUGCCUCAUUUUCCUCUCUUUAAAAACCCCUCAAAUCUCCAUCUUUGCUAUGCACAAUGAUUAAGGUUUACAUGAGAAAAGAUUUGAAGAUGUUGAUGCACCCUCAUUUGUGCAAUA